GGACCCGCACAAGCAGUGGAGCAUGUGGUUUAAUUCGACGCAACGCGAAGAACCUUACCAGCGUUUGACAUGGGAAGUGCCGGUUACAGAAUGGUAACCUUCAGUUCGGCUGGCUUCCACACAGGUGCUGCAUGGCUGUCGUCAGCUCGUGUCGUGAGAUGUUGGUUAAGUCCCGCAACGAGCGCAACCCUUAUCGUUAGUUACUAACAGUUCGGCUGAGGACUCUAGCGAAACUGCCGGUGAUAAGCCCGGAGGAAGGUGGGGGAUGACGUCAAGUCCUCAUGGCCCUUACACGCUGGGCUACACACGUGCUACAAUGGUAACUACAACGGGACGCAAUACCGCGAGGUGGAG
rnacentral:rRNA from 1 species